rnacentral:rRNA from 1 species
UCGAAAGGAACGCUAAUACCGCAUACGUCCUACGGGAGAAAGCAGGGGACCUUCGGGCCUUGCGCUAUCAGAUGAGCCUAGGUCGGAUUAGCUAGUUGGUGAGGUAAUGGCUCACCAAGGCGACGAUCCGUAACUGGUCUGAGAGGAUGAUCAGUCACACUGGAACUGAGACACGGUCCAGACUCCUACGGGAGGCAGCAGUGGGGAAUAUUGGACAAUGGGCGAAAGCCUGAUCCAGCCAUGCCGCGUGUGUGAAGAAGGUCUUCGGAUUGUAAAGCACUUUAAGUUGGGAGGAAGGGUUGUAGAUUAAUACUCUGCAAUUUUGACGUUACCGACAGAAUAAGCACCGGCUAACUCUGUGCCAGCAGCCGCGGUAAUACAGAGGGUGCAAGCGUUAAUCGGAAUUACUGGGCGUAAAGCGCGCGUAGGUGGUUUGUUAAGUUGGAUGUGAAAUCCCCGGGCUCAACCUGGGAACUGCAUCCAAAACUGGCAAGCUAGAGUAUGGUAGAGGGUGGUGGAAUUUCCUGUGUAGCGGUGAAAUGCGUAGAUAUAGGAAGGAACACCAGUGGCGAAGGCGACCACCUGGACUGAUACUGACACUGAG